AAUUCUAGAGUUAAUACAUGAUCAAUUCCUCGACUUUGAAGAGGUGUAUUUAUUAGAAUGAAAACCAAUAGACUUUGUCUGUUUGGGAGUAAUAAUAACUUGUCAUAUCGCAUGCUUAGGUAGCGAUGUUUCUUUUAAGUUUCUGCCCUAUCAGCUUUCGAUGGUAGUGUAUGGGACUCCCAUGGCAGUAACGGGUAACGAAGAAUUUGGGUUCGAUUUCGGAGAGGGAGCGUGAGAGACGGCUCCCACAUCCAAGGAAGGCAGCAGGCGCGUAAAUUACCCAAUCCUGACACAGGGAGGUAGUGACAAUAAAUCACAAUGGGGAACUUUAGUUUUGCAAUUGGAUUGAGAACAACGCACAACACUUAUCGAUAAACAAUUGGAGGGCAAGUCUGGUGCCAGCAGCCGCGGUAAU
rnacentral:rRNA from 1 species